GAUGAACGCUGGCGGCGUGCCUAAUACAUGCAAGUCGAGCGAACAGACGAGGAGCUUGCUCCUCUGACGUUAGCGGCGGAAGGGUGAGUAACACGUGGAUAACCUACCUAUAAGACUGGGAUAACUUCAGGAAACCGGAGCUAAUACCGGAUAAUAUAUUGAACCGCAUGGUUCAAUAGUGAAAGACGGUUUUGCUGUCACUUAUAGAUGGAUCCGCGCCGCAUUAGCUAGUUGGUAAGGUAACGGCUUACCAAGGCAACGAUGCGUAGCCGACCUGAGAGGGUGAUCGGCCACACGGGAACUGAGACACGGUCCAGACUCCUACGGGAGGCAGCAGUAGGGAAUCUACCGCAAUGGGCGAAAGCCUGACGGAGCAACGCCGCGUGAGUGAUGAAGGUCUUCGGAUCGUAAAACUCUGUUAUUAGGGAAGAACAAAUGUGUAAGUAACUAUGCACGUCUUGACGGUACCUAAUCAGAAAGCCACGGCUAACUACGUG
rnacentral:rRNA from 1 species